rnacentral:tRNA from 1 species
GCCUGGUUGGCUCAGUCAGUAGAGCAUACAACUCUUAAUUUUAGGGUCAUGAGUUCAAGCCCCAUAUUGAGCA